CCUACGGGAGGCUGCAGUGGGGAAUAUUGCACAAUGGGGGGAACCUUGAUGCAGCAACGCCGCGUGGGUGAAGAAGUACUCCGGUAUGUAAAGCCCUGUCAGCAGGGAAGAAAAUGACGGUACCUGACCAAGAAGCCCCGGCUAACUACGUGCCAGCAGCCGCGGUAAUCCGUAGGGGGCAAGCGUUAUCCGGAAUUACUGGGGGUAAAGGGAGCGUUGACGGGAAGGCCAGUCUGGAGUGAAAGCCGCGGGCCCAACCAUGGGACUGCUGUUGAAACUGGGUUGCUGGAGUGGAGGAGAGGUAAGCGGAAUGCGUAGUGUAGCGGUGAAAUGCGUAGAUAUUAGGAGGAACACCGGUGGCGAAGGCGGCAUACUGGCGUCCAACUGACGCUGAGGCACGAAGGCGUGGGGAUCGAACAGGAUUAGAUACCCGGGUAGUC
rnacentral:rRNA from 1 species